AGAGCACAUUGUUGCCUCAACCUGGUCAACCUGGUUUCUAUGCAGAAAGGUGUCUUUCAGAGACAGAUUCAUCAUCACUUGGACAUUUGAUUUCUAAUGAAAUGACUGUCACAUUGUUAGAGGGUCGCUAGUAUUUGCCUACAAUUAUCUUUUCUUUUUUCUUGUUAAAAUUUGGCAGCUCGAACUAAAAACCUCCUAGCGAACAACUCCAGCGCCGCUGAAUUAAAGCCC
rnacentral:misc_RNA from 1 species